UACGUAGGGUGCAAGCGUUGUCCGGAAUUAUUGGGCGUAAAGAGCUCGUAGGCGGCUUGUUGCGUCGGCUGUGAAAACCCGGGGCUCAACCCCGGGCCUGCAGUCGAUACGGGCAGGCUAGAGUCCGGCAGGGGAGACUGGAAUUCCUGGUGUAGCGGUGAAAUGCGCAGAUAUCAGGAGGAACACCGGUGGCGAAGGCGGUGGUCUGGGCCGGAACUGACGCUGAGGAGCGAAAGCGUGGGGAGCGAACAGG
rnacentral:rRNA from 1 species